GUGACCCAAGCCUCGUCCCUGCCAGGGCCCCUCCCAGCAGGCGGGAGUGGGGUGCAGUUGCCCUGCUGGGAAAAUCCCCCAGACCUCACCAAAACCCGGGCUGAAACUUUCUCCCAACUCCGCUGUUUCCUGUCUUCCCUACCGCAGCUGAAAUCAGGGGUCAGGUGUUCAAGCAGAAGGAACAGCCUGAGACCCAGGGCUGCGUGCCAAGGGGUGAAGGAAGUGCCGGUUGGUUCCAGUGGGUCAGCCCGGUGGCAUCUCCGCUCCCCUGCUCCAAAUUCCAAUUUGGUGAGGCUGCUGGAGGCUGAGUCAGCUCCGGCACGGCACGAGAGCAGCGUCCCAAGGGGCUCCUUGCCAGAAACCCUGGCCCCCAACCAAGGCCAGGGCCAGGCUCCCAGACUACAGUAGCCUCAGCCGAACGGUGCUGCCCACGAUCAUGUGAGUGACUGUGCCUUGGGGGUUGUGAAGAACUCACAGUGGGUGAGGCUCUGGGUAACAGUCCAAGGAGGAGGCAGAGGCCGGGGGCUAAGUCCUCCUCUGCUCAGCUCACCACACGACUCUGGGAGAUUUCCUUUUCCCUCUUGGCCUCUACUUCCUUGACCACACAAGGGGACCCACAUUUCCUAAGUAGUUCAUGAGACUUAAAUAAGACAUAUGAAGUGCUUUGCAAACUGCCCCGUGGCCCAGGAUAGUCAGAGUGGGAGGAGUGAGGCAAAACGUGAGAAUGUCCGGAGUCCCUUACAGCUGUGCAGGCUGCUUACCGCGUAAGAAGUCCAACCUAGGCUGUCGAAAUCUAGCCCGUCCUCCGCUCACCGGGCUGUAUUCCCUCACCUAGAAAUGCUAGGACCAAGAGGGUACCCUGCCCUAACUGACACACACAAAUACACCCAGUAGUAGCUCCUCAGACUUUGCUGGGUCAAGCCCCUAGAUUUAUGGGAAACCACUAAGAAACCGAUUCUGAUUCUUGGAAUGGAGGAGAAGCAGGACUGGUUUUGCAGAGGCUCCCAGAGAGGCUCCCAGCCUUGGCAGGGAGAUGAUUCUUAUUACUGGGGAGCAGUUAGGGGUUCCCAGGUAGGGUAGAGAAGAAGUCUCUUCUGGUCCUGCCUCUCUCCAGAAACCAAAGCAGGCAACCAG